AUGUCCGGUGCGGCGGCUGCGCGGUGGGCCCGCGCGGGGUUUUGGCGGGAGAGGCGCGACGGAGAUGGCGGGAGAUCUGCCCUGCCCUGGGCUGGGCGGGCCCUAUACGGCGGUGGGGGAUGUCGGGAUCCGCGGCCACGUGCGGCUCGCGGCGGCGGAACGUGUCCGGCUCGGUCUGACGGUGAGAGGCUUGCGAUGCACGAUUCAUACAGUUCCGUGCUCCUGUGGGGUUCAGUGCUGCAUACACUUGUACCGAUUCCACGGAUGCCGUUGAACUCCCUCCUUCUCAUCAAAAUAUAUCAAUAUAAAGUACCUCCUUCUCAUCAAAAUAUAAAUAUAAAGUGCGCUUCACUUUUUCUUGUCUUUACCGUGCAACUUUGA
rnacentral:rRNA from 1 species